CUUCUUAAAGCUCUAGCCAGUGGGAAAGCGUUCGUGUUUCUAUCCUUGGAGCUCCAACUGGGACUUCUUAAAAGAUUUAUAAGGAGCAAAGCUGUCAGGAAAUCAGAAACAUCACAUGGACAUGGACUCCAUGACUGGGAAAAACCUCGUGGUGGCCGGCUCUCUGCUUGGACGGGUGCUAGUUACAUCUCAGAGGUCUGAUUUUCUUAACUCGACCACGGUAAGAAGAUGCCCUCCUGCAGCAGGCCGUGCUUGCGGACCCCUCUGGAGACUUCCCGAACCCUGUGGAUUUACAGUAAGAUGCAGUUUCCCUGGGGAGUAAUUCUGGUGGAUACAAAUUCCGGAGUACCUCACCUGGCUUGCCUGGAGACGCUACAAGGAGCUGGAUGGAUUCUUCUAGCCUAGAUGCCCCCUGAGAAUGCGGUCGCAGCUCAGAGCACUGUAUGUCUACCCUUGACUCAACGGGAAUAUUUGCUCUCAUCUCUCGGGCUACCUGGAGCUCUCUCUAAAAUCAUAUCCUUUAGGCGUUCCAGAAGGACUUUGAGAACCAUCCUUUCCUAAAUCAAAGGUGGAAUAUUUGGCGAUUUGGAAAAUUGAGAUGAGAAGCGUUGACUUAAGAGAUGCCAAGUCACUCAGCAGAUGUCACACAGAUGACAACUAGCAAAGAUGGAAGGCUUCAUGCUGGAGGCAGUUCUAUAAGACAGCUGAGUUCUCCAGAGCUGGUAGGAGACAGACUUGCUCAGGUGAUAGAUCCGGCCAUGAUAUUGGCCAUAAGAGAAUCUGACACUGCAGAAGUCAUAGAAGAUUCCUGAAACUGGGAAAGAUGCCUAGAAAUCUGGAGAAGAGUGAAGAAGCAGCUGGCAGGCAGAGCCCCCUUCCACAUCACUAUGAAAGACAUCCAACAGACAGCAAGUUUCCACCUCACUUCCAGCUUGAUUCCUCUUUAUCUCCUAAUUGCGGCGUGUGAUGUCUUCAGGAGUGGAAUUAACUAGUUCUGGGUACCUGGAGGCACAGCAGCCAUGUUGAACCUAUGAGGUGAUGAAAAGCCAUGCAACUAGAAGCC
rnacentral:lncRNA from 1 species